UGUCCAGUAGCACCUUAGAGACCAACUAUGUUUGUUCUGGGUAUAAGCUUUCGUGUGCAUGCACACAAAAGCUUAUACCCAGAACAAACUUAGUUGGUCUCUAAGGUGCUACUGGACA